rnacentral:rRNA from 1 species
GACGAACGCUGGCGGCGUGCCUAAUACAUGCAAGUAGAACGCUGAAGGAGGAGCUUGCUCUUCUGGAUGAGUUGCGAACGGGUGAGUAACGCGUAGGUAACCUGCCUGGUAGCGGGGGAUAACUAUUGGAAACGAUAGCUAAUACCGCAUAACAGUAGAUGUUGCAUGACAUUUGCUUAAAAGGUGCAAUUGCACCACUACCAGAUGGACCUGCGUUGUAUUAGCUAGUUGGUGGGGUAACGGCUCACCAAGGCGACGAUACAUAGCCGACCUGAGAGGGUGAUCGGUCACACUGGGACUGAGACACGGCCCAGACUCCUACGGGAGGCAGCAGUAGGGAAUCUUCGGCAAUGGACGGAAGUCUGACCGAGCAACGCCGCGUGAGUGAAGAAGGUUUUCGGAUCGUAAAGCUCUGUUGUAAGAGAAGAACGAGUGUGAGAGUGGAAAGUUCACACUGUGACGGUAUCUUACCAGAAAGGGACGGCUAACUACGUG